GCGGGCGGAUCGUGGUGGCUGCGCUUGCGAGGACCCUGAGGUAGAUUGGGUGGUUUCAACAGGAACGCAUCCACUGUCUGAGAGUUUAAACUUGAUUUUGUGAGGGGACGAACAGCGUGACAAUUAAAAGAAGAUCUGGGAAUCAAAAGCUUCCUGAGGCCUUCACCAGAAGCAGAUGCUGGUGCCGUGCUUCUACAGCCUGCAGAACUGAAGGACUUUACAGCUUCUCUUUCGCAUAUCCAAAUUGCCAGCAUCACCGCUCUUGCACUCCAAGCCAUUAUUAAGUAAAGUAAAGAACACAAACACUGUGAUACUGCUACACUUGAUCUGAUAACCAAGAAGUCUACUAAGUGACUAACAGCAGAGCAACUGGGAACCUAAUUCUGACCAAAAAGGAGGAAUUGUUUGGCUAAUUGGAAGUGACAGAAACCUUGGGAGAAAGCAACCGCAUACCAAGGAUAAUUAUAAGAAGAAGAGAAGACAUGGAGAAGAGGAGGGAGUAGUUGUGACCGUGGAGGCAGAGAAUGGAGUAAUGUGAUCAUAAAUCAAGGAAUGCUGACAGCCACUAAAGCUGGAGAAGGCCAAGGACAGAUAUUCAAUCCUCCCGUAGAAGUACAGCCCUGCUAAUGCAUUGAUUUUGGACUUCUGGCCUCAGAACUGUCUGGAAAGCAUGGAAAUUUGUAUCUUCAUUCACUUUUGUUUUCAUGGACUCUUUUCAUGUUUGAACUUUUCAUGGUAUGAGCUGUUUUAUAAUCUAUAAUAUGGAAUGUUUCUCAUACGAAUGUUUUUCUUAUUGAAGAAUGCCAUAGAAAUAAGGGUGUGAGGUAUACUUACUUGACAGGAGAAUUUUACUCCUUUUAUUUUAUUUACUUAUUUAUUUUUAAGACGGAGUCCUGCUGUGUUGUCCAGGCUGGUCUUGAACCCCUGGACUCAAACGAUCUUUCUCCUUGGCCUCCCAAAGUUCUGGGAUUACAGGUAUGAGCUACAGUGCCCUGAGAGUCCUUUUUAAAGUAGUGAAUGCUCAAACAUGGAAUUAAAUUUAGGCAAAGCUCACUUUUAUUUAUACAUAAAACAACUUCAGCCAUGUACCUCAUAACGAUAUUUUGGCCAAUGUCUGACCUUAUAUACAAUGGUUGUCCUGUACGAUUAUAAUGAAGCUGAAAAUUUUCUAUUGCCUAGUAACAUUGUAGUAAUUGUAAUGUAGCACAACCUAUCACACGUGUUUGUAGUGAUGCUGGUGUAAACAAACCGACUGCAUUGCCAGUCUAGUAUAAAAGUCUAGCACACACAAUUAUCCACAGUAUAUAAUAGUUGAUAAUGAUAAUAAACAACUGUCACUGGCUUAUAUAUUUGCUAUACUAUACUUUUUAUCAUUAUUUUAGAGUAUAUUUAGAGUAUAUUAAGCAGCCUUAGGCAGGUCUUUCAGGAGGCAUUCCAGAAGAAGGCAUUGUUAUCAUAGGAGGUGACAGCUCCCUGUGUGUUGUUGCCCCUGAAGAACUUCCAGUGGGACAAGAUAUGGUGGUGAAAGACAGUGAUAUUGAUGAUCUUGACCCUGUGUAGGCUUAGGCUCAUGUGUUUGUGUCUUCAUUCUUUUUUUUUUUUUGAGAUGGGGUCUCGCACUGUUGCCCAGGCUGGAGUGCAGUGGCGCGACCUUGGCUCACUGCAAGCUCCGCCUCCUGGGUUGAUGCCAUUCUCCUGCCUCAGCCUCCCAAGUAGCUGGGACUACAGGUGCCCACCACUACGCCUGACUAAUUUUUUGUACUUUUAGUAGAGACGGGGUUUCACCAUGUUAGCCAGGAUGGUCUUGAUCUCCUGACCUCGUGAUCCGCCCGCCUCGGCCUCCCAAAGUGCUGGGAUUACAGUAUUUAAGACAUUUUUAUAAAUUAAAAAUUUUUUAAAUAGAAAAAAGCCUAUAGCAUAAGGAUAUAAAGAAAAAGUAUUUUUAUGCAGCUGCACAAUGUAUUUGUGUUUUAAACUGUGUUAUUAUGCAAGAGUUACAGAGUUUUUAAAAAUAAAAAGUUUAUAAAGUAAAAAACUUACAACACAUCAAAAGAUAAUACACCAUGAUCAAGUGGGCUUUAUCCCAGGGAUGCAAGCAUAGUUCAACAUAUGCAAAUUAAUAAGUGAUAUCAACAGAAUGAAGGACAAAAGCUUUAUGAUCAUCUUAACAGAUACAGAAAAGCAUUUGAUAAAAUUUAACUUCCUUCAUGAUAAAAACUCUCGAAGGAACAUACCUCAGCAUAUUAAGGGCCAUAUAUGGUUAACCCAGAGCUAAAAUCAUACUGAACAGGGAAAAGCUGAAAGCCUUCCUGCAAAGAACUGGAACAAGACAAGGAUGACCACUUGCACCACUCUUAUUCAACAUGGUACUGGAAGUCCUAGCCAGAGCAAUCAGGCAAGAGAAAGAAUUAAAAGACAUCCAGUUGGAAAAAAGGAGGUCAUAUAUUUUCUCUGCAGACAACAUAAUCUUAUAUCUAGAAAAACCUGAAGACUCCACCAAAAAGGGUGAGCAUGGUGACUCAUGCCUGUAAUCUCAGCACUUUGAGAGGCUGAGGCAGGAGGAUCACUUGAGCCCAGGGGUUCAAGACCAGCCUGGACAACAUAGUGAGACCCCAAUCUCUAAAAAAAGUUAAAAACUU
ensembl:lncRNA TMEM161B-DT TMEM161B divergent transcript